rnacentral:rRNA from 1 species
CCCUUUGAUACUCUGGGCGGCACGCGCGCUACACUGGUUUAUAUAACGUGUAAUUUGGACGAUAGUCUGUAUAAAUCACUAAUAUAAAACCGUGAAUGGGAUAGUUUAUUGCAACUUACAAACUUUAACUAGGAAUCCCUUGUAGAAGUAGUGAAUUAUACUGCUUCGAAUACGUCCCUGCCGAUUGUACACACCGCCCGUCGUUUCUUCCGACUGGUACUCAUUGUGAAUUGCGAGGAGAUUCUGUCAAAUCGUUGUAAAUGCUGGGUAUUGGGGGAAGAAAAAGUCGUAACA